rnacentral:rRNA from 1 species
CAGCCGCCGCGGGAAUACAGAGGGUGCAAGCGUUAAUCGGAAUUACUGGGCGUAAAGCGUGCGCAGGCGGUUCGUUAAGACAGAUGUGAAAUCCCCGGGCUUAACCUGGGAACUGCAUUUGUGACUGGCGAGCUAGAGUAUGGCAGAGGGGGGUAGAAUUCCACGUGUAGCAGUGAAAUGCGUAGAGAUGUGGAGGAAUACCGAUGGCGAAGGCAGCCCCCUGGGCCAAUACUGACGCUCAUGCACGAAAGCGUGGGGAGCAAACAGGAUUAGAUACCCCUGUAGUCCCUGUCUCUUAUAA